CUAACACAGAGGCAAGGGGCACCCCCUCUUCAGACAAUGAGCUUCUGAGCCUCCCCCCAACUCUUUCUGACAGGGACAUUUGGGGUCAUAUGAUUGGGCCUAGCAAUGCAUGAGAUCAAUUAAGAGUGGUUGAGAGGAGGGUUUGAAAGGCCCCUGAGGUGACCCUGCCUGAUGGUAAGGACCCAGGGCCUGGGAGCCCCUGCCUGGUGGUAAGGACCCAGGGCCUGGGAGCCCCUACCUCCAGCAGCUCUACCCCUGUCUCCCUCCCCAGGCUAAUCAAGACCAGAGGUGGGUCAAGGAGCCAGAUAUUUAUCUGAACCAGUGAAUAGCUCCUCCAGCUGGGAUGGUACUCAGGACGUGGUGAAGACGAGCAUCCUGCUGUGGUCACUGAGGGUAACGAACAGAGAUGGAAGCCCCACAUUCCUACCCGAGCGAGAAGGGUUCUCUUGUACCCUCUUAACCCCAGACCCUGGUCCUAGUGACAGGGACACCUCUCUAACCCCUCACUCACCCAGCUGGGCACCAGAUCAACUGCAGUUACCAAAGCAGGUCAGACAAGGUUAAGCAGGGCCAUAACCAUGUGUAAUCCAGGGGUGGCAUCCAUAGAAUGGAUACCAGGCAGGCAGUCACCGUGUGUUCUGUCUGGACCUGACUGCCACUGGCGCCAGGGGCACCCUGGUGAAGCAGGAACAGCAGCCUGAGCUCCAUUCCUUGAUGUGCUGGGAACUAUGCAAGAGCCUUCUGUCUGCCCCUGACGCUGGAAGAGAAGGGGGAAUGGGGGGACCCCUUGUCAGACCUCUAUCAAAGGGAUACUAUCGCCUCCUACUGCCGCUUCUAGGCAGAGUUGGAAAGAAAAAGCCAUGUCUCAGACUGGCCAAUAAAAAGAAAAGAUUAAGAUGGGCAAAAGAACACAGACACUGGACAAAGGAACUCUGCCUAGAAGGCCAGGAUCCUGGAGUCGCCUCUUCACUGUUGACAUUGAGAGUGGUGUUUUGCGGGUAGUAUUUAAUGAAGCUUCCAGUUGAGGACUUGUGAGGCAUCUGUUUCUCAAACUAGACACUAUAAUGUACUUGUCCUCUUGCUCAGUUGUGCACCGGAGCCUCCCACUCCUCUCUCUAUUCUGGUUAGAGCCAGUUUACGCUGUUCUGUGAAGGGAGUAGUACACAGCGUUGUACGAGAUCUUCAGUUUAUUGGCAAUUUCUCAGAACAAGAAUAGACUGACGAGUUUCAGAAGAAAGGUCUUUGUUUCUGGCCAUUGUGAGCCUGUAAUCGAACCCACAAAUGCUGAUGGUCCAGAUACUCAACUAGUUUAAAGAAGGCCAGUUGUAUUGCUUCUUUAAUCAGGACAACAGUUUACAGCUGUGCCUACAUAAUUGCAAAAGGGUUUUCUAAUGAUCAAUUAGCCAUUUUAAAAUGAUAAACUUGGAUUAGCUAACACAACGUGCCAUUGAAACACAGGAGUGAUGGUUGCUGAUAAUGGGCCUCCGUAUGCCUAUGUAGAUAUUCCAUAAAUAAAUCUGCCGUUUCCAGCUACAAUAGUAAUUUACAACAUGUCUACACUGUAUUUCUGAUCAAUUUGAUGUAAUUUUAAUUGACAAAAAAUUUUGCUUUUCUUUCAAAAACACAUUUCUAAGUGACCCCAAACUUUUGAAUGGUAUUGUGCAUUGUAGGUUAC
rnacentral:lncRNA from 1 species